rnacentral:rRNA from 1 species
AUUGAACGCUGGCGGCCUUCCUAACACCUGCACGUCGAGCGGAUGAAGGGAGCUUGCUCCUGGAUUCAGCGGCGGACGGGUGAGUAAUGCCUAGGAAUCUGCCUGUUAGUGGGGGAUAACGUCCGGAAACGGGCGCUAAUACCGCAUACGUCCUGAGGGAGAAAGUGGGGGAUCUUCGGACCUCACGCUAUCAGAUGAGCCUAGGUCGGAUUAGCUAGUUGGUGGGGUAAAGGCCUACCAAGGCGACGAUCCGUAACUGGUCUGAGAGGAUGAUCAGUCACACUGGAACUGAGACACGGUCCAGACUCCUACGGGAGGCAGCAGUGGGGAAUAUUGGACAAUGGGCGAAAGCCUGAUCCAGCCAUGCCGCGUGUGUGAAGAAGGUCUUCGGAUUGUAAAGCACUUUAAGUUGGGAGGAAGGGCAGUAAGUUAAUACCUUGCUGUUUUGACGUUACCAACAGAAUAAGCAACGGCUAACUUCGUG